GGGGAAUCUUGCGCAAUGGGCGAAAGCCUGACGCAGCAACGCCGCGUGCGGGAUGACGGCCUUCGUGGUUGUAAACCGCUUUCAGCAGGGACGAAAAUGACGGUACCUGCAGAAGAAGCCCCGGCUAACUACGUGCCAGCAGCCGCGGUAAUACGUAGGGGGCAAGCGUUGUCCGGAUUCAUUGGGCGUAAAGAGCUCGUAGGCGGUUCAGUAAGUUGGGUGUGAAAGCUCCGGGCUCAACCCGGAGAGGCCACCCAAUACUGCUGUGACUAGAGUCCAGUAGAGGAGCGUGGAAUUCCUGGUGUAGCGGUGAAAUGCGCAGAUAUCAGGAGGAACACCAUUAGCGAAGGCGGCGCUCUGGGCUGGAACUGACGCUGAGGAGCGAAAGCGUGGGUAGCAAAC
rnacentral:rRNA from 1 species